rnacentral:rRNA from 1 species
GACAGAGGUGCCGAGCGUUAGGCGGAAUCACUGGGCUUAAAGCGUGUGUAGGCGGACUUCUAAGUACCUUGUGAAAUCCCACGGCUCAACCGUGGAACUGCUCGGUAUACUGGUUGUCUUGAGCCACUUAGGGGCGAGCGGAACAACGGUGGAGCGGUGAAAUGCGUAGAUAUCGUUGAGACGCCAAAGGUGAAAACAGCU